GACGAACGCUGGCGGCGUGCCUAAUACAUGCAAGUAGAACGCUGAAGAGAGGAGCUUGCUCUUCUUGGAUGAGUUGCGAACGGGUGAGUAACGCGUAGGUAACCUGCCUGGUAGCGGGGGAUAACUAUUGGAAACGAUAGCUGAUACCGCAUAAAAUUGAUUAUUGCAUGAUAAUUAAUUGAAAGAUGCAACUGCAUCACUACCAGAUGGACCUGCGUUGUAUUAGCUAGUUGGUGAGGUAACGGCUCACCAAGGCGACGAUACAUAGCCGACCUGAGAGGGUGAUCGGCCACACUGGGACUGAGACACGGCCCAGACUCCUACGGGAGGCAGCAGUAGGGAAUCUUCGGCAAUGGGGGGAACCCUGACCGAGCAACGCCGCGUGAGUGAAGAAGGUUUUCGGAUCGUAAAGCUCUGUUGUAAGAGAAGAACGGGUGUGUGAGUGGAAAGUUCACACUGUGACGGUAUCUUACCAGAAAGGGACGGCUAACUACGUG
rnacentral:rRNA from 1 species